GGACACCACAGACAUAGAGGAUAGUGUUCUUGCCCUUUAACAACAGUUUACUUGGGAAGCAAUUACAUAACAUGGAGGAUUCUGAUCAACUUUAUUUUGCCUGUUUUCUUCUCUGUGAAAUGAGGGAAUUGGAAAAAGUUCCCUUCCAACUCCAUUACGAUGAUGCAGUACAAAUUCUGAGGAUUUCAAGCAGAUGGCAGAAACCCCUGUUCACCACUGGACACUUGAAGGACAUAGGAGCAUACUUUCUGGAAUUGACGAGCAGAGGAAUAGAAAAAAAUGAGACAAAGCCAAUUCUCUAGGUCUGCACACAAGAGAACAUCUACACCUGGAAAAGAAAGAACUAAGAACCAAGAUAUCAACCAAACAACUCAACUGAGUAAAGCACAAAGCAGUGACAACCCACAGGAUGCCACCUCACCUGGUUUCCAGAGAGAGACGUUACACCUGUCACUGACUGCUGCCCGCUACCUGCAGUCCAAAGAAAGAAAAGGUGAG